rnacentral:rRNA from 1 species
UCACCCAUUACAAGGAUGUCUAGGGAUUUUGAGGGGGACGGCCCCCCACACUGGAACUGAGACACGGCCCAGAUUCCACGGGGCGGAAUCAUUGGGGAAUCUGCACCAAGGAAUGAAAUUCAAAUCCAGGCAUCCCGAGGAAGGGAAGCCGCCCUAAGGGGUAAUAAAUUCUUUUUCUAAGGGAGCAAUAAUGGUUACGAGUAAUGCGAUGGUAGUACGGUAUCAAUACGGAUCGGCUAACUCCGCGCCAGCAGCCGUGGUAAUACGGAGGCUCCGGGCGUUAUCAGGAAUUAUUGGGUUUAAAGGGUGCGUAGGCGGCCAAUUACGUCAGCGGUGAAACUUGGCAGAUCAACGGUAACACUUCCGUUGAUACUUUUUUUGUAGAAUUUGGUUGUAGUUGGAAGAAUUUGUGGUGUAGCGAAGAAAUGAUUAGAUAUCACACACAACACCGAUUGCGAAGGCAGCACACUAAGUCAUUAUUGACGAGGAGGCAAGAAAGUGGAGCAUCCAACAGGAUUAGACACCGUGGUACUCCACGCAUCAACG